AGAACGAACGCUGGCGGCGUGGAUAAGACAUGCAAGUCGAACGGGCUUAAUUUUAGAGCAAUCUAGGGUUGAGCCAGUGGCGAACGGGUGCGUAACACGUGAGUCAUCUGCCUGAAAGUGGGGGAUAGCUCGCCGAAAGGCGAAUUAAUACCGCAUGUGGUUGUGAAACCAAAGCCGGGGCAACCUGGCGCUUUUAGAGGAGCUCGCGGCCUAUCAGCUUGUUGGUGGGGUAACGGCCUACCAAGGCGACGACGGGUA
rnacentral:rRNA from 1 species